rnacentral:lncRNA from 1 species
CUAUGGCAUUUUGCAAAUCAAUUUGUGACGCUUUACUUGAAGCAAUGCACCAUGUUGUUUUAUUUGACCUUGUUACAUUUGCUUUUGUAGUCAGAUCAACAGCACCUCGUCCAGUGAAAUCUAGAUUGUACACACUUGUCUGAUCCGGGUAAAAUAAUCCCCAAUUCCUCUCAGAUUCCAUACCAGGCUUUCUAUUUUCAUUGAACAAUGAGAAAAUGUAAACAUCAAGCUCCUCCCCAGGCUUUGCAGGAGUACCGGUGUUGUUGAUAACAUGCCUUAUCAGAUUAGUGUUAUAAGUUUGUGC